UAUGGAAUGAUUAAAUCAAGCUAAUUAACAUAUCUAUCACCUCAUAUUCUUUUUUGUGGUGAGAACAUUUAAGAUCUAGUCUCUUAGCCAUUUUCCAGUACAUAAUACAUUAUUCUUAACUAUAGUCACCAUGCUGUAUCAUAGAUCUCAGAACUGAGAAUAAAUCUUUUUAUCUGUAUACAUCCCUGGGCAGCAAAUGAGAAUAAGAACCCUUAAAAAAUUCAGUGUCAUGGUUGCUGGUGUUCUUUUUCUGUGUAAACUUUUCUUAGCAAGGAAUCUCUUCCUAUUAACUAAAUUCUUAACUAUUUGACAUACUUUUUAAAAAAGUCCUGUCAAAAAUGACAAUGAUUUAUUGUACAUGUUUGUUUUUUCUUCCAGGAAUAUCUUCUUGCCAACAGAACUUAGAGGAAGACACAUAUGCCUAUGCCUCCCCUGCACAAGCAGAUUUUCAUAUCAUUAGGGUCUUACAUUUAUAGAUCAGGAAACAUGUCUGUUCUAUCCCAAUCCAUGAGUUGGAGCAGAUACAAUUACAGUUCUGAGAUCCUUUUAAGAUAAGAGGCCCCUUAGUACCUAUAGCGUACCUAUAUUCUCAAACUAUGAAUGAGAGUUAUAAAGAGUGAAAUGGAAUUGAAUUUGCUAGAAUUUGUUGUGCUCGCAGUCCUGGCUCUUGCCAGUAUAAUUUCUUAAUCAAAGUCCACAAUCUCCUUAACUAGGCUUCUUCCAUUCUUCCAGGACAAACUACAUUCUUUUUGUCCCUCUCUUCCCCAGUACAAUUACCCAGUGAAAAUUCAUGGACUGAAUCUGCAGAUGUUAUUGUCUAAUAUGUUACUGUCUGAUACUCUGUAAGUAUUACUAAUAUCUUUCCAUGGCACAGUCCUAAAUAGUUUUCGUAACUGUGGUUUUGAGCCUAUGCUUUUGUCAUUAUGUGUCAGAGUUUCUUGCACAUUUUCCAGGAAGCUGCAACUGAAUCAUUUUCAGGACUUUUAUAUAACCUAGUCUAUCAUCUGUAGCCCAAGAUUAAACAAAUACUGCAUGCUCUUGUGGUCUAAGUGAUACAAGAUGCCAAAGGGUUAUAACCAAACACUCCCUAAAUAGCUUGCUGCAGCCCAGGAAUGCUUACUGAAAUUAUCCAUAAUAUGUGAUAUAGCCAAAGGAGUUUAAAAAACACCCUCUCUUCCUUUCCUUAGGGCUUGUCCUAAGUUGUCCCUUCGUUGUCGGAGCUUGCUGCACACACAGAGGCCAAGCACCUGUCAUGUGUUAUGAAUUAUAUUACAUAUUCAGCUGUGAUCUGGAAAGCCAUGUGCUUAGACAGUGAAGCCAUUGGAUGGAUGCCUCCUGGUUUACUGAGUUCCCAAAGAGAGGACAGAUGCUCGGGAGUUGCCCAAUUGCCAUAGCACUCGUGUGAGCAAGAAAUUCAACUUUGGUGGCUCAUGCUUAAGUGCUCAAAAAGUUGAGCCCCAAGAUGCCUGGGCAGCGGUUGGCAUGUGAAAUGAGCUAUGUCCCUCGGAAUACCGUCCUUAUCAGUAGCUGUGCUAAAGAAACAUCUGCCCCCACAAAAAGUCAAGGGCAAAGGUCAUCUGGCAUUCCAAGGGAACUCUCCGCAGCAGGGAGACUUCUAAUUGGCUGGUAUUGAUUGCCACCUUACAGUUCACCUGUUUGUGAACUUGUCUCAUUGCCAUUAUCAGACUGUGAGCUACUUUGGACACAGUGCCCGAGCCAUCAUGGUGCCAUUGCAGCGCCUUGCGCAUAACAGGAAUUCACCCUGAAAUGAAUAGUUCAUGUCUCCUCCUGCUUGUGGUAGGAGUUCCUGGAGAGUUUAUAUCUAGAAGAGGAAUUGCUGAAUUCAAGGGUAUGUGCAACUUCAGUUUUACCAGAAUCAACAGCAACAUAAGAGAUACGCUUAAUGAUUUUGCUCCUAUAAAGUGUAACAGGAAAUUCACCUGGCCUCCAGCCAAAGGAUGUCCAUAGGGUCUCCAUGUGAUCCAUGUGAUUCCAGCUGAUUCUCCCUGGAUGACUUGCCCAGCAACGCAGCAGUAGCAGAGAUUUCUCACCAGGCCAGAAGAAUCUACGUGCACCUGGGAG